GCUAAUAUCUGGAUGCCUUACAUCUGUCGACCUCAUAACCCCAGUUGCCAUGUUUAUAUCAGCAGCCAAACAACUACACAUUUUGUUUUCACUUGAACUGUGCUACAUUGUUAUAUGCUCUUUGUUCUUUACAAACUAAGACUUGUAUGCUUUUUAUUUAUCAAUUUUAGAUCUUGUUUAGAUUCUUAUGGUGUCAAAAUAUUUCUACGUUGUUUCAGGAUCUUCUGUUUUUGGCUUGUAGUCAUCUAGAUAACAGAACUACAAUGACUAGAGUGUCCAGAAUGGAUUUUGGAGAUUUUGAUAUCUAACCAUGAGGAUGUGGAGGCAACAAUUCAUUGUGCGGAGUGACUCUCAAUGGUUGGACGAUCUUGCACUGGAGGCCAAAGGAUCAGACCAAGAAGUGGGUGCUACAAUUUCAGCAACCCGUAUAACAACACAAUAUCAGCAGGAACAGCUGACUGUCAGCCAUGAAACGCUGACUACACUUUCAGCAGGAACUCCACCACGCAUGAAAGGAUGGCUAGUUAAAAAAUCACCCCCAAGAAGAAGAAAGUGUGAAGUAUUUGUGUUUUGUGUGUGAACUGAAAUCUGGGAACUAUGUAUCUGUGGUUUGUGUCUGUGUACUGAAAUCUGGGAACUGAAACUAUGUAUGUGUGGUUUCUGUGUGUGAACUGGAACUGAGUCACAGAACUAUGUAUCUGUGAUAUGUGUGAACUGCAAUCUGAAAUUGUCAGUUUAUUGCUGAA